rnacentral:rRNA from 1 species
ACGGUCACACCUGUUCCCAUACGAUCAUCGAAGUUAAGCAAUGUCGAGCUUGUUCACUACCUAGAUGGGUGACCGCUUGAGAAUACCAGGUGCUGUAAG